rnacentral:rRNA from 1 species
GCUUGUCUCAAAGAUUAAGCCAUGCAUGUCUAAGUGUAAAUACGUCUACACUGUGAAACUGCGAAUGGCUCAUUAAAUCAGUUAUCGUUUAUUUGAUGAUCUCUUGUUACAUGGAUAACCGUAGUAAUUCUAGAGCUAAUACAUGCGUCAAGCCCCGACUUCGGAAGGGGUGUAUUUAUUAGAUUCAAAACCAACCGUGUAAAAAGCGUACCUUGGUGAUUCAUAAUAACUGUUCGAAGCGCACGGCCUCGCGCCGGCGCUAGUUCAUUCAAAUUUCUGCCCUAUCAGCUUUCGACGGUAGUGUAGUGGACUACCGUGGCGCUAACGGGUGACGGAGAAUUAGGGUUCGGUUCCGGAGAGGGAGCCUGAGAAACGGCUACCACAUCCAAGGAAGGCAGCAGG